AGCAAUUGGUGGCAGGGACGGGUGGAAGGCUCCUCCAAGGAGUCAGCAGGAUUGAUCCCUUCCCCUGAGCUGCAGGAAUGGCGAGUGGCAAGUAUGGCUCAGUCAGCUCCUAGCGAUUUUUGAUCAGUUGGAUGUUGUUUCCUACGAGGAAGUCGUUCGGCUCCCUGCAUUCAAGAGGAAGACCCUGGUGCUGAUCGGAGCCAGUGGGGUGGGUCGCAGCCACAUUAAGAAUGCCCUGCUCAGCCAGAAUCCGGAGAAGUUUGUGUACCCUGUCCCAUGUAAGUAGCUCUUAGGCACCUUGGAGGGGAGGUGACAGGCUGGUACCACUCGCCAUCUGAAAUACCAUAGUGUUAUUUUAUUAUUUUUUAAAUUAUUUUAUUUUAAAUGAUUAUUAAAACUAAACAAAAUAUGGAAAGAUAAAAAUUUGUGCCCACAAUUCCUCCACCUAACAGAAUAACUG
rnacentral:lncRNA from 1 species